GGGGGAGCGGCGGCGAGGAGAGGCAAGAUAGAACAAAUACAAGAUAGAACAAAUACAAGAAUCAUAUAUCAAGCCAUUUCUGUGAGGAUCGCGGGUGGCGAGUAUGAAGAUGCAUCAUACCUGAGAGGCUCAGAGCGAUAUUCCACGGUGCCAAGCCAUUUGUGGCAACCAAACCCAUCUCCACCACUGCUUCUAGCUUUCUCUUUAUCCUUCUCAUUUUCUUCUCCUUGUCGCUGUUGACCAGAUCAUCCACAGAAGAACCCACCGCAGCGCCAUGGCUGCACCAAAUCUAUACUAGCUGGGUUUGGGAUUUAAGUGUUAGUGACUCAGUUCUGGAGAUAUAUGAUCAGGGUUAACAAAUUUGGGUUUUGGGUUUUGGAGGAAGAAGAAAUAUGGAUA
rnacentral:misc_RNA from 1 species